rnacentral:rRNA from 1 species
GACGAACGCUGGCGGCGUGCUUAACACAUGCAAGUCGAGCGGUAAGGCCCCUUCGGGGGUACACGAGCGGCGAACGGGUAGAGUAACACGUGAGCAACCUACCCUCAACUUCGGGAUAAGCCUCGGAAACGGGGUCUAAUACCGGGAUAUCACUCCUGGUCUCAUGGCUUGGGGUUGAAAGUUCUGGCGGUUGGGGAUGGGCUCGCGGCCUAUCAGCUUGUU